GUAUGUGAGGGCAAUCUGGCUGUGACGUCUGUCAUCCCACUGAUCGCCAGGGUUAAUUUGGCCGAUCUGGCUGGCUGGGCGGGUGCCUCCUUCCUCCCUCACUGCUCCAUGUGCGUGCCUCCCGCAGCAGCACGCUCGGUGGAAGAGGACGACCAUCCUGAUAGAGGAGGACCCUUCCUCUCAGUCAAGGGCAUCCGAGGAGCUGCGGUCCCUGCUGGAACCUCCAGACAAGCUCUCAGGGAAUGGAAUGCUGCUGAGUGCAUCCUCAUCGCUAAGUGCUUCACACUGUCAGCUAGACACUCCGU
rnacentral:snRNA from 1 species